UACGAAGGGGGCUAGCGUUGCUCGGAAUCACUGGGCGUAAAGCGCACGUAAGCGGCUUGUUAAGUCAGGGGUGAAAUCCUGGAGCUCAACUCCAGAACUGCCUUUGAUACUGAAGAUCUUGAGUUCGGGAGAGGUGAGUGGAACUGCGAGUGUAGAGGUGAAAUUCGUAGAUAUUCGCAAGAACACCAGUGGCGAAGGCGGCUCACUGGCCCGAUACUGACGCUGAGGCACGAAAGCGUGGGGAGCAAACAGG
rnacentral:rRNA from 1 species